rnacentral:rRNA from 1 species
UACAGAGGUCUCAAGCGUUGUUCGGAUUCAUUGGGCGUAAAGGGUGCGUAGGCGGCGCGGUAAGUCGGGUGUGAAAUCUCGGAAGCUUAACUCCGAAACUGCAAUUCGAUACUGCCGUGCUUGAGGACUGGAGAGGAGACUGGAAUUUACGGUGUAGCGGUGAAAUGCGUAGGAUAAUCGUAAGGAAGACCAGUGGACGAAGGACG